CGACACUCGCGGCGUGACCUAAUACAUGCAAGUCGAGCGNNACCAAUGANGAGCUUGCUCUUCAGNCGGUUAGCGGCGGACGGGUGAGUAACACGUAGGCAACCUGCCUGUACGACUGGGAUAACUCCGGGAAACCGGAGCUAAUACCGGAUAGGAUGUCAGACCGCAUGGUCUGACAUGGAAAGGUCUUGUAACCACGUACAGAUGGGCCUGCGGCGCAUUAGCUAGUUGGUGGGGUAACGGCCUACCAAGGCGACGAUGCGUAGCCGACCUGAGAGGGUGAUCGGCCACACUGGGACUGAGACACGGCCCAGACUCCUACGGGAGGCAGCAGUAGGGAAUCUUCCGCAAUGGACGAAAGUCUGACGGAGCAACGCCGCGUGAACGAUGAAGGUUUUCGGAUCGUAAAGUUCUGUUGUUAGGGAAGAACCGCCGGGAUGACCUCCCGGUCUGACGGUACCUAACNGAGAAAGCCCCGGCUAACUACGUGCCAGCAGCCGCGGUAAUACCGUAGGGGGCAAGCGUUGUCCGGAAUUAUUGGGCGUAAAGCGCGCGCAGGCGGCUUCUUAAGUCAGGUGUGAAAGCCCACGGCUCAACCGUGGAGAGCCACUUGAAACUGGGAAGCUUGAGUGCAGGAGAGGAGAGCGGAAUUCCACGUGUAGCGGUGAAAUGCGUAGAGAUGUGGAGGAACACCCGUGGCGAAGGCGGCUCUCUGGCCUGUAACUGACGCUGAGGCGCGAAAGCGUGGGGAGCGAACAGGAUUAGAUACUCUGGUAGUCCACGCCGUAAACGAUGAGUGCUAGGUGUUGGGGACUCCAAUCCUCAGUGCCGCAGCUAACGCAAUAAGCACUCCGCCUGGGGAGUACGGCCGCAAGGCUGAAACUCAAAAGAAUUGACNGGGACCCGCACAAGCGGUGGAGCAUGUGGUUUAAUUCGAAGCAACGCGAAAGAACCUUACCCAGGGCUUGAACAUCCCGCCUGA
rnacentral:rRNA from 1 species